GGAGGAGGAGGAGGAGGUACCUUGGUCUCCUCAGCCCUCAUCCCGUCCAGCAGGUAGCGAAGGAGCUCCUGGCUGUCCUGCUGCUGGAAGCCCUUGAAGCGAGCCGCCCUGGGAGAGAGACGUCCCGGGACCACAUGAAGGAUGGACCCACCAGAUUGGAGGAGGCUGUAGGAGUGAUCUUCAAGCUGCUCUUGUUCUCUGUCAGCUGGUUGAGAACCCCCCUCAGCAGCUGGGUCUGGGAGAGGUUCUGGAGAGGACAACCACCCAAUAAUGAAGCUGGCAGGAGGUCUCCCUCAUCCUACAAUCUGGAAUAACUCGUUCAACUACUCCAACAAUUCAACAUGUACAUCUAGCCAAAUUUCCGACGAAACAGUGAGGGGAGACGAGGAAUAAAAGGAAGAUGACAAA